GCCGAUGAUGAACUAAUCCGCCUCUGAAUAGUGAUGAAAAACGGAUCUCUGAGG
rnacentral:snoRNA from 1 species